rnacentral:lncRNA from 1 species
GAAGUCUUUAGUGAGGGAAAAGUUCAUGUUUCAAGUUUCAUAAUUUAGAGAACAAGAUCAGAAGAACCAACUGCUGGCGAUGGCAAGAAGACAGAGAGGGAAGAGGUAGGGAGAAGUGGAAGAGGAAGCUGGCUUUUUCAUUUUUGCAAGGAAGGAAAAGCUUUCCUGACAGACCCCAGCAGAUUUCUGCUUAUAUCUGAUCACCAGAACUUAUAUGACAAUAGUGGAUUCUAGAAAACCAUAGAGAACUAUUCUAUGCCAGUUAUGGAAAUUCCAUUCUUCUUUGUCCAGUCUAACAGAAGACAAGUGGCCUAGCCUUGGCCAGUGAGAGCUUUAGCAGCAUCUUGUGACCAUGAAAACGGACAUCACUAACAUACUGAGGUUGGAUGAGUGGAAAGAUAGAAAGAACCUGGAUCCACAUGACAUAACUGAAUCACUGUACCAACCUUGGAA